AUCUUUUAGGUAGCUCAAAACCAAACAUGUCUGUGAUACAGAAUUAUUUGGAAAAUGUGUUCAUCGUCCAGAUGUCUGAGUGGGAAAAAAACACUCUGAGUAUCUGACCCUCAGUGGAAGCAGACUGAAACAUCUGUAGAAGCCUCAGACCCUCUUCGUUUAAGGGAAGAUAGGGGAAGAAAGGUGCCACACAAGUGUACUUGGUGCUCAAAGGAAAGACUUCCCAAACACAGAAAAUAUUGGCAUUUCCUGCACUAAAACUACCACAGAAACUCCCCUUAGCCUGAGUGGGAGCAGAUGUCAGCAGACACACUUGAACUGGUUGCUGGGAGAGCGUGUAUCAGGAGGUGACGAAAGCUGUGUUUGCACAUUAUCAGCACAGAUCAUGUUUUACAACAACUGAUCGUAAAACCUUGACAACACGUUCCCAGCAGAGCCACUGUCACGGUAGGGGCUGUGUGCUGGUGCUGUAAUUUUUCUGGUCCAGAGUGCCCAAGAAAGGUUCCCACUCAUGUGCAAUGCUUCCCAACACCAGUGAGAUCCUAAGUGGGAAGCCACGAAUGAGCAGAAGUUGCAAGAUCUGUGGUGUUACAAAAAUGUGUCCUUAUGGUAUGCUUUCCCUAGGAAUAGGGCAUUUCUGCCUUCUGUGCAAUGAAGGAAUUUUUUAAGACCUUCAAUCCUUGCUCAGGCAAUCCUCCAUUUAGUUUAUGACAAAAUAGGGAUUUUCAAAAAACAGGGUGCUUAAAGGUAGUUCAGGCCAGAGAAAAGUACACCUUCGACAGAACCCUAUGGAGUUCAUGGAGUACAUGCCACUUGAAGCCAGCUUUCAAAAGCCUUCUCUUUUCAGGUUUAGUUUUGAUUCUCUCUGUCUCCCUGUUGUACCUGAGAGGAGAAUUUAACCGUUGGAUUUUGUCACGGUACAGCAAACAUCUCACACUCUUGUUCUUCACAAGUAAAUGGCACAGCAUGAAUUGCUUUUGUUGAGCCAUUAAACUGACAGCUUUGGAGUUCCUCUGUUUAUCCUCUGUUUAAAACAGGUACACCACAGAUGGUAAAACACAGAAUCUUUCCCCCGCAGCCCUCGAAUGUGCUCAGCCCUGACUCUAGGAGUCAGCAGAUCAGCCUGCCUGUCCUCCCAGACUGUGAUUUCCAUGGAGACUGAUGUGUGUUACCAAAUCUUCUGCAAAGCAGAGAGGUAUGCAGACCUGGCAAACUUUGCACAGAAGAUGACCCCUCAUAGCAGGAGGCCAUCACUUUCAACUUUUAAAAAUUAAUUACAUUAGGGGAAAUAGUACCGUAUAGACCCCAUAAAAUUCAUGAAAGUCAAUGGCCUUCACAUUUUUGGUAACACUAAAUUCUAGUGUUUGGCUAAAGGCAAACCAACAAGAAGUUGGUUUGAGUUCAGCUUUAACAUGCUUUCUGUGAAGCACAUACCCAGGUUUUCCACUGGACUGCGAUCUAAGGUACUGCUCAGAAAGCCAGAAUAUAUGAAUUUAAAACUGUGGGCUUACUUCAAUUCUUAGAUAUGUCAUCCUAAGGUAAUCUGCUUCAGUGAAGCCAGUUUAACAGCAUAAUUUUGAUCCCUGUUGCAGUCUUUAUUAUAUAUUAUCCUCAGUCUUCUGUAACAGCUUUAUAAAACUUUUAAAUGGUAGGGUCUCAAUGAAAGACCUUUAAAUUCAUCUACAAGAUGUUCAGUGAACUUUGCCCAGCACUUAGGAGUGGAAAUGCUUUGCUGUAUUAUUUCUUAUUAUUACUGUUAUGACAUUGAGUUUUUCAAGGAAGGGAGUUGGAAUGAUAUCUCACAGGGCCCACUAGUCCCUUCAGAAAUACAGUGUGUUGUAUACUGUCCUUGGCCAUUACAAAAAGCAGCUACUCCAGCUGUGGCUAAGCCCAAAAUCUGAUUCUCAUAGUGAUAAAAGGGAGUAAAUUAUCAGAUGGAGAACUUGAAUCACUAGAAAUCUCUUUUUCUGCAUUUCUGGAGGUAGUCUGAAAAAUGCAUGUACACUCUCAGCUAUGUGAAGAAUACCUAAACUUCUACUUCAGUGAAGAAUUUUGCUUUAAUCAAUAUGGAUUAAAGAGUUUGUUUUGAAUAAAUUAAUAUAGACAGUUGUAUACCAGGACAGGCUUACAUAGCUAGCAGUUCCCAGAGACACUAAAGAGAAAUGUCAACACCCUAAAGACAAAAAUGUGGUCAAAGAAACAUUUUUAGUCAUCCGCAGUAAUGCAUUUCCUCAGCUCCUGCUCCAUGUUCACUGUCACCCCAUUAACUCUGUAAUGUCUCUCUGUGCCUGAUUAAGGAGCCAUGUUACCUCUCAGAGCCUGUUAAUUCACCCUGGGGCUCAGAACCUAAGCUGAUACGAAUCUGCAUGUAACCUCCCUUCGAGUCACGUGUGCCUGGUUUUCAUCUAGUGGAAUGACUCUGACUUGAGUGCUCUCCAGAUGGUUUACAUAGACCCUGCUGCACAGGUUUAGUUCUACUUAGCAAGUACUGACACCAGAAUUAUGAAUCACCUUCCACUGUACCAGAUAUGUAUUUCUGUGGAAUUACACAGAUUAAAGCUCUUGUUUGGGUAAAACCAUUCCAAUAGUUAAUGAUGUCAAGGGGAUUUUUUCAAAUCUGCUUUGACAAGCUUUGAGUGAAACUCUAAAUUAAUAGAAUUUUUUAAAAUUCUUUAGUCGUUAAUUAAGGAGCAUUUGACUAUGAUAAUAAUGUCACGGGAAACUUACUACCCGGUCUCAAUGAAAGAAGCUCAGUGUCCUCGUUAGAGAUGCAUCUUGAUUUUAUCAAACUUUUCUAACUUACCAUUCCAGCUUUGAUAUACUGGUAAACUUGACCCUAACCCCAUAGCAUGUAAGAGGAGAAAAUCUGUCUGGAUUUGAAUGUUCAAAACAACCCUUUUGUCUUUAGUUUUUGCUAAGUGCUUUCUUGCUGGGCUUUCCACAGUACUGAUCUUGACAUUCAUAUCCUUGCAGUGUCAGAGCUAGAAACCAUCUUUUUCUUCCACCCCACAAUGACUGACUUUUUUUAAAGGUGAUGAUAAUUCCAUUGGAACAUGAUAAUGGACUCACAGUUUUUAUUCUACUGCGUUAUACUUUAUUGCAUGAAGUUGUCUCAGAGAUAAAAAGCUUAAACAAGAAAACAAUAGGAACGUCAGCUACAAAUUAUGUUUUAGUCUUGCUGUCCUGCCUAAGUACAUUUUUAUUUUAUGUUUUGGCCUGAACAUUGCAUAGCUACAUCACAAAAUGCAGGUAUUUAUAGCACUGAGUAACUGAGUUGUUCCAAUGGCCAUUGGUUAAUAUAGAUGUACGUAUGUUUUGCAUGGCUAUGCUGAGCACAACAGAGCAAACUGAUCUUUGUAAUCUACUAUGCCAGUAUGUGGCUGCCUUCAAGCAAAGCAGUGGCCAAUUCAUAAUGUCCACUCACCACUUCUUCUUGCUUCCCCUGUUGCGCUAGAACUGAAACAAUCAGCUCCUUGGAAAGCUGAGUUAUAAAAAUAAGCAGUAACAGGCUUGGACCUUCAGCAAGGAGAAUAGCUCCGUUUUCUUCUAUGACAUUCCCUGGGAAGUGCACCAGAGUUUAGUCUUCAAACUCAGCUUGGUUUGCUUGGGCAAGGAGGGCAUAGAGCCCUUGUGAACAUCGUUUUUUUCCCUCAAGUUAUGACCUCCUUUUCAGCACUGUACUGCUAUAGAGCAUCCCAGAGUUGACAGCACUUCUCUGUCUCUAGAGUUUAUUCUGUAUUUUCUCAGUAUCUAAUAGAUUGGAGCCUGUCAUGACAGGAAUCCAUAUAUAUGUACAUAGGAAUAAUGCUUAAAUGUGGAGAUAUCCUUUUCCCGAAUAAGAAGUAAUGGAUUUGCUGUAUAAAGAGAAUAUAGUAAGCGUUCUUUCACUGACAAUGAAUAUUUUCUAUCUCUACCCACUAGACAGGUUCUGCUAAGCAAGUAAGUCUAAUUGAAUUUUUUUUAUUAAAUCAGAGCAGUGUGAGUUCGAUUUCAAAGGCACUCACCAUUUGUCUUUUCAGUCUAAAAUGUUUCACUCCCUAAAUGCUGCAUUUUUUUAAAUGUACCUAAGAAGUGGUGUUAGAGUAACCAGCAGUUGUUCAGACCACAGAAGAAUUUUAAAGGUCUUUUUUUUUGUCACAUUAGUGAAAAUAAUAAUCAGUUCACUGUGAAAGAAUUCCCUUGACUUUUCAAGCUAGUUCUGAAAAUUCUGUAUUUUCACAGGAAGAUACUGUUGCGUCUGAAUAAAGGCAGAUCUGGAGAGAUGCUGAGCUCUUCCAAGAAGCACUAGAAUCCUACGUAAAUUCACUGUAACAGCAAAACCUCACAGGCAAAAAUGUUUGUUCUUUUUGUAUGCGAGAGCAACCAGCUGGCAUGGAGGAUGGUGAAGAAGGAAACCCUCAUAGCAGGAGUGGGCAUCACAUCUGGAGGAAGCUGUUGGCAUCGCAGAGAUACCAAACAUACCUGGACUGAACAGGCUGCAGUGACUCUAAUUCCCAGCUACCACAGUCCUGCCAGUGGGGAUGUCUUACGUAUCAGCGUGAAGGCAAACAACUGGCUGCUGUGUGUUCGCGUUCGAGGGUGAAGAGCCUCCUUCCAUAUCUUCAUAAAUUAAGAGAAGCAGACUCUGUGCCAAUGGAGAAAGCAAGCUGAGCAUCUGCAAGUGAGAAUUAAACACAAGUGCUUGUUCAAAAGGCUUCACUCUUCAUUGCCUCAGCCUUUUCUACGUAUUUCCUGACUUUGCAACGUCCAUGCAAAAUGACCUUGUGUUGGAAGAGUUACAGACAUUUACAUUACAUAUAGACCAAAUCAAUGGCAGAAAAUGCAAGACAGUAGAGAUCAUCUUCACAUUUCUUAUAAUGAUCCUUGAAAGCAGACAGAAAACUGUCGAAAGAAAUUUUUGGCUAAAUGGAUGAUAGAAAGGAAACCUGUGAGUAUUACAGGAAGAGAGUGCAUUUACAUUGGCCUCUGUCAAGAAGUAGCACUAAAUUGUGCUGUAUUUUGUGUAUUUUGUGGAAGUCUA